rnacentral:rRNA from 1 species
UACGGGGGGGAGCAAGCGUUGUUCGGAUUUACUGGGCGUAAAGGGCGCGUAGGCGGCCACCGCAAGUCGACUGUGAAAUCUCCGGGCUUAACCCGGAAAGGUCAGCCGAUACUGCGGGGCUAGAGUGCAGAAGGGGCAACUGGAAUUCUCGGUGUAGCGGUGAAAUGCGUAGAUAUCGAGAGGAACACCUGCGGCGAAGGCGGGUUGCUGGGCUGACACUGACGCUGAGGCGCGAAAGCGUGGGGGAGCAAACAGG